rnacentral:rRNA from 1 species
UACAGAGGAGCCAAGCGUUGUCCGGAUUGACUGGGCGUAAAGCGCACGCAGGCGGCCGCGCGCGUGGGGUGUGAAAUCUGGCCGCUUAACGGCCAGGCGCCAUCCCAUACGGCGCGUCUGGAGUGAUGCAGAGGUCGGUGGAAUUGCCGGUGUAGUGGUGAAAUGCGUAGAGAUCGGCAGGAACACCCAGGGGGAAACCAGCCGACUGAGCAUCUACUGACGCUGAGGUGCGAGAGCGUGGGGAGCGAACCGG